AAUGAACGCUGGCGGCGUGCUUAACACAUGCAAGUCGAGCGAGGCCAGGGGGGCAACCCCCUGAGUCGAGCGGCGGACGGGUGAGUAACACGUGGGUAACCUACCCGGAAGUGGGGAAUACCUCGGGGAAACUCGAGCUAAUACCGCAUGACAUCUUUGGGACGAAAGUCCUGACGAUCAAAGCGGGGUCGCAAGAUCUCGCGCCACCGGAUGGGCCCGCGCCCGAUUAGCUAGUUGGUGAGGAACGGCUCACCAAGGCUUCGAUCGGUAACCGGCCUGAGAGGGCGAUCGGUCACACCGGAACUGAGACACGGUCCGGACUCCUACGGGAGGCAGCAGUGGGGAAUCUUGCGCAAUGGGCGAAAGCCUGACGCAGCGACGCCGCGUGA
rnacentral:rRNA from 1 species